GACGAACGCUGGCGGCGUGCUUAACACAUGCAAGUCGAACGGAAAGGCCCUGCUUUUGUGGGGUGCUCGAGUGGCGAACGGGUGAGUAACACGUGAGUAACCUGCCCUUGACUUUGGGAUAACUUCAGGAAACUGGGGCUAAUACCGGAUAGGAGCUCCUGCUGCAUGGUGGGGGUUGGAAAGUUUCGGCGGUUGGGGAUGGACUCGCGGCUUAUCAGCUUGUUGGUGGGGUAGUGGCUUACCAAGGCUUUGACGGGUAGCCGGCCUGAGAGGGUGACCGGCCACAUUGGGACUGAGAUACGGCCCAGACUCCUACGGGAGGCAGCAGUGGGGAAUAUUGCACAAUGGGCGGAAGCCUGAUGCAGCAACGCCGCGUGCGGGAUGACAGCCUUCGGGUUGUAAACCGCUUUCGCCUGUGACGAGGCGUGAGUGACGGUAAUGGGUAAAGAAGCACCGGCUAACUACGUG
rnacentral:rRNA from 1 species